GGCCCGCUAGCUCAAUUGGCAGAGNNAGAGCAGCUGACUCUUAAUCAGCGGGUUCGGGGUUCGAGUCCCUGGCGGGUCA
rnacentral:tRNA from 1 species